CGGGGGAUGUUAAGUAUAAAAGUCUAUACUCAACUGAAUACUUCUUAUAAAGGUUUGCUCAAUCAAAUUACAACAAUAGAGACGAUCUCAUACGAUCGAAUCUCUCACUCUCAUACGACUCCUCAGCUCCCUUCUCACUUGCCAGCUCAGCUCCUUUCCACCUUCUUCUCGAAUAAGUAUGUUUAUACCUAUCAAUACUCCCCCCUUUGAAAUUAAGCUUGCCCUCAAGCUUGUAUGACGGAAAUUGCAGCCUAAACUCCUCCAGCAACAUCCACGUAUUGUCAUGAUCCAAACGAUCCCUCCAUUUCACCAACAACUCUUCCUUGCCAGCCUCCGUGACUCGUGAUGCAACGAUGUUCUCUGGUUGCAGAACCAUAUCAGUCAAAUCAGAACAAACAGGAGGAAUGGCUUGCACAAACUGUCCAUGUCCCAGCGCUGCCUUCAAUUGCGAGAUAUGAAACACAGGAUGAAUACGAGCCUCGUCUGGUAACUUUAAUCGAUAAGCAACCUUCCCAAUGCGCUCACUGAUCUCAUAAGGCCCAAAAUAUUUGGCUGCCAGCUUUUGACAGUAACGACGGACCACAGUGUGUUGCCUGAAUGGUUUUAGCUUCAAAUAUACCCAAUCCCCUACUGCAAAACUCAACUCUCUACGAUGCUUAUCCGCACUUGCUUUCAUCAAAUGUUGAGCACGCAGCAAAUGCUGCUGAAUCUGAACCAACAUCGCAUCACGUUCGCGUAAAGCCAUCUCCAAAUCAUAAUUGUUCGUUGAACCUUCUUCAAAACGAACAAUAGCUGGUGGCUCCCUACCAUAAACCACUUGAAAAGGAGUAGCUUUCAAAGCUGUAUGAAAAGAUGUAUUGUACCAUAGUUCAGCCCAAGAUAAAAAUUUGUGCCACGUUCUUGGAUGACUGGACGCAAAACACCUGAGAUACGUCUCCAUACAUCUGUUUAACACUUCCGUUUGGCCAUCCGUUUGUGGGUGAAAAGCUGUGCUGUACUUGAGUUUAGUUCCCGAAGCUCUGAACAAAUCCUUCCAAAACGAACUCAAGAACACUCGAUCUCUGUCAGAGACAAUUGAACGCGGAAAACCAUGAUGCUUAACAACCUCAGAAACGAAUUUUGAAGCCACCUCUACCGCAGUAAACGGGUGUUUCAGUCCAACGAAGUGAGCAUAUUUGCUAAGCCGAUCAACCACCACCAUGAUCACAUUAACCCCUUGAGAACCUGGAAGCCCUUCCACGAAAUCCAUUGACACAUCUUCCCAAAUACGAUUCGGAAUGGGUAAUGGCUGCAACAAUCCUGCUGGUGCUAGUGUAGAAUAUUUGUGAGUUUGGCAAAUGUUACACUCAGAAACAUACUUCUGCACCCUCUGAUACAGACCCUCCCAAUGAAACAUCGACUGAAUCCGCUUAACUGUUUUUAGAACUCCUGAGUGUCCUCCUUGUUGACCAUCGUGAUAUUCUGAUAACAGUAGUGGAAUGGAGGCUGAAUCCUUUGGUAUGACCAAUCUGCGUUUGUACCAGAGCUUUCCAUCAA